AUUGAACGCUGGCGGCAUGCUUUACACAUGCAAGUCGAACGGUAGAGGGGGCAACCCCUUGAGAGUGGCGAACGGGUGAGUAAUGCAUCGGAACGUGCCCAGUCGUGGGGGAUAACGCAGCGAAAGCUGUGCUAAUACCGCAUACGAUCUCUGGAUGAAAGCGGGGGACCGAAAGGCCUCGCGCGAUUGGAGCGGCCGAUGUCAGAUUAGGUAGUUGGUGGGGUAAAGGCUCACCAAGCCAACGAUCUGUAGCUGGUCUGAGAGGACGACCAGCCACACUGGGACAGAGACAAGGCCCAGACCGCCACGGGAGGCAGCAGUGGGGAAUUGUGGAAAAUGGGCGCAAGCCUGAUCCAGCAAUGCCGCGUGCAGGAAGAAGGCCUUCGGGUUGUAAACUGCUUUUGUACGGAACGAAAAGGUCUGGGUUAAUACCCUGGGCACAUGACGGUACCGUAAGAAUAAGCACCGGCUAACUACGUGCCAGCAGCCGCGGUAA
rnacentral:rRNA from 1 species